GAGAGAGACAUGCGCGCAUAUCAAUAAGCGGAGGAAAAGAAACUAACAAGGAUUCCCUUAGUAACGGCGAGUGAAGCGGGAAGAGCUCAAAUUUGAAAUCUUCAAGGUUUUACCUUGACGAAUUGUAGUUUAAAGAAGUGUUUUCUGCUGAAGUUUUGGUAAAAGUUCUUUGGAAUAGGACAUCAUAGAGGGUGAGAAUCCCGUAUUUGACCAUUAUUUUCAGCUUUGUGAUACACUUUCGAAGAGUCGGAUUGUUUGGGAAUGCAGUCCAAAAUGGGUGGUAAAUUUCAUCUAAAGCUAAAUAUUGGCGAGAGACCGAUAGCGAACAAGUACCGUGAGGGAAAGAUGAAAAGAACUUUGAAAAGAGAGUUAAACAGUACGUGAAAUUGUCAAAAGGGAAGCGUUUGACACCAGUGUUGUUUUCUCGAAAAUCAAUUAAAAAUGGCUCGAUUUUGUAUUGCUUGAGACCUUAAAAGCUCACUGUACAUUUUUCGUGUCUUUUUUAAUGCACUUUUCGUUUAACAAGUCAACAUCAGUUUCUUUUGUUGUAAAAGGGUCAUUGGAAGGUGGCUUUCUUUUCGGAGAAAGUGUUUAUAGCCUUUGGCCUCUGCAAUCGAAGAGACUGAGGUCUGCAGCGUAGACUCUUCGGGGUUAGAUACAUUUGUGCUAAGUUACUAGCUUUUUAUAGACAACUUGUUGACUAUAAUUAGUCUUGUAGCUUACUCGCUUAUGCUAUUUUACCUACGCUUAGGAUGUUGAAGUCAUCGUAUCGCGC
rnacentral:rRNA from 1 species